UACAGAGGUGGCAAGCGUUGUUCGGAAUUACUGGGCGUAAAGGGCGCGUAGGCGGCUCGACAAGUCCCGCGUGAAAGCCCCCGGCUCAACUGGGGAACUGCGCGGGAAACUGUCGGACUUGAGUUCGGGAGAGGGAAGCGGAAUUCCGGGUGUAGCGGUGAAAUGCGUAGAUAUCAGGAGGAACGCCUGCGGUGUAGACGGCUUUCUGGACCAUUGCUGACGCUGAGACACGAAAGCGUGGGUAGCAAACAGG
rnacentral:rRNA from 1 species